rnacentral:rRNA from 1 species
CCUACGGGAGGCAGCAGUGGGGAAUUUUGGACAAUGGGCGAAAGCCUGAUCCAGCAAUGCCGCGUGUGUGAAGAAGGCCUUCGGGUUGUAAAGCACUUUUGUCCGGAAAGAAAUGGCUCUGGUUAAUACCUGGGGUCGAUGACGGUACCGGAAGAAUAAGGACCGGCUAACUACGUGCCAGCAGCCGCGGUAAUACGUAGGGUCCAAGCGUUAAUCGGAAUUACUGGGCGUAAAGCGUGCGCAGGCGGUUGUGCAAGACCGAUGUGAAAUCCCCGAGCUUAACUUGGGAAUUGCAUUGGUGACUGCACGGCUAGAGUGUGUCAGAGGGGGGUAGAAUUCCACGUGUAGCAGUGAAAUGCGUAGAGAUGUGGAGGAAUACCGAUGGCGAAGGCAGCCCCCUGGGAUAACACUGACGCUCAUGCACGAAAGCGUGGGGAGCAAACAGGAUUAGAUACCCUGGUAGUCCACGCCCUAAACGAUGUCAACUAGUUGUUGGGGAUUCAUUUCCUUAGUAACGUAGCUAACGCGUGAAGUUGACCGCCUGGGGAGUACGGUCGCAAGAUUAAAACUCAAAUGAAUUGACGG